AUGGAGCGGACUGAGCCUGGUCCUGGGCAACGCACAGGCAACGCAAAACCAGGAGCGUCUCCUGGACUACGCCGGACCGGAGUGGACCAGGGGGGGAAGAGACCCAGAGCAGGUGGUGGUCGACUGGACGGGGAGCUGGGAACGCUGGGCCCUCUGGACAACUGGAGAGAGAGAGACAGUCAUUAUCAGAGAGAGGGAGAGCCACAGUCAUUAUCAGAGAGAGAGAGAGACAGUCAUUAUCAGAGAGAGAGAGAGAGACAGUCAUUAUCAGAGAGAGAGAGAGAGACAGUCAUUAUCAGAGAGAGAGAGAGAGAGAGAGACAGUCAUUAUCAGAGAGAGAGAGAGAGACAGUCAUUAUCAGAGAGAGAGAGAGACCGUCAUUAUCUGAGAGAGAGAGAGAGACAGUCAUUAUCAGAGAGAGGGAGAGACAGUCAUUAUCAGAGCAGAGAGAGAGAAAGUCAUUAUCAGAGAGAGGGAGAGCCACAGUCAUUAUCAGAGAGAGAGAGAGAGACUGUCAUUAUCAGAGAGAGGGAGAGACCGUCAUUAUCAGAGAGAGAGAGAGACAGUCAUUAUCAGAGAGAGGGAGAGAGACAGUCAUUAUCAGAGAGAGGGAGAGACAGUCAUUAUCAGAGAGAGAGAGACAGUCAUUAUCAGAGAGAGAGAGAGACAGUCAUUAUCAGAGAGAGAGAGAGAGACAGUCAUUAUCAGAGAGAGAGAGAGAGACAGUCAUUAUCAGAGAGAGAGAGAGACAGUCAUUAUCAGAGAGAGAGAGAGAGACAGUCAUUAUCAGAGAGAGAGAGAGACAGUCAUUAUCAGAGAGAGGGAGAGACAGUCAUUAUCAGAGAGAGAGAGAGACAGUCAUUAUCAGAGAGAGAGAGAGAGAGACAGUCAUUAUCAGAGAGAGAGAGAGACAGUCAUUAUCAGAGAGAAAGAGAGAGAUUAUCAGAGAGAGAGAGACAGUCAUUAUCAGAGAGAGAGAGAGACAGUCAUUAUCAGAGAGAAAGAGAGAGAGAGACAUUAUCAGAGAGAGAGAGACAGUCAUUAUCAGAGAGAAAGAGAGACAGUCAUUAUCAGAGAGAGGGAGAGAGUCAUUAUCAGAAAGAGGGAGAGACAGUCAUUAUCAGAGAGAGAGAGACCGUCAUUAUCAGAGAGAGAGAGAGACAGUCAUUAUCAGAGAGCGAGAGAGAGACCGUCAUUAUCAGAGCAGAGAGAGACAGUCAUUAUCAGAGAGAGAGACAGUCAUUAUCAGAGCAGAGAGAGAGAGAGACAGUCAUUAUCAGAGCAGAGAGAGAGAGACAGUCAGAGCAGAGAGAGAGAGAGAGACAAUCAUUAUCAGAGCAGAGAGAGAGAGAGACAGUCAUUAUCAGAGCAGAGAGAGAGAGACGGUCAGAGCAGAGAGAGAGAGAGACAGUCAUUAUCAGAGAGAGAGAGAGAGACAGUCAUUAUCAGAGCAGAGAGAGACAGUCAGAGCAGAGAGAGAGACAGUCCAUCAACUGGAUCGUAUUUAUCUUUUUAUCAUCUAUAUCAAGGUGCAGCUCUGUCAUCUUGCAGUACACGGUGACCUCUAAAGAAAUGUGGCACGGCUUUACAAACCCCACGGAGAAGACAAGAAAGCCCAGAAUAACCCCUCCUGGUGGGUUCCCUCCUGGUGGGGUUCCUCUGGACCCAUGGGGCUGUCACUCACGCAACGGGGAUACUAGAGGAAGGAAUGCCAGUGGUGUUGGGGUGCUCCCCUGA
rnacentral:lncRNA from 1 species